AGUACUAAUGACUUCCAAUCAUUAAGCCUUGGUUAGACCCCAAGAGAAAAUA
rnacentral:tRNA from 1 species